UUGAGCCAGAUGAGAGGAAACUCUCAUGUCCGAUUUUGAGGGGGGAUCCCGCAGGGCCCUAUCCUAAU
rfam:Gossypium raimondii Chr04_contig_1341, whole genome shotgun sequence.